UGGGUGGAAGAGGAAUAAAAGACAUGUAACUUACUGAAGAUUCUUUUCUUUUCUUUUUCUUUUCUUUUUUUCUUUUCUUUUCUUUUCUUUUUUUUUUUUUUUUAGAUUGACAUGGUCUCAAGCCAAGGCAUAAAGCAGGGAGGGGCUUCAGGUGAAGACUGCCGGUUUCAGGAAUACAACUCUAACGUAUGGUCAAAAGAUGUCCCAGUUUUCCCAUCCAGAUCUAUCACAUCAGACUAUGUCAGGCUAAGG
rnacentral:lncRNA from 1 species